AUUGCCCCUAGAGCUAUUGCAGAUGUGGUUGCUGUGUCACAUGUACAUCAGUAGGUGACAGAAAGAAGGGAAACUAUGUCUCCCAUCAGUGUUCUGACCUGUGAACAUCUGAAUGAUUAGUAGCCUAACAUU